UGGCUCCCAGCAGUGUAAAUUAACGAAACAGAUACUUUGACCAUUGCUGUAAAUCACGAUUUGGUCUUGCUCAUGAUCAAAGGUGAAUAUGCUUUUGAUGAAAUACCUCGUAAAAUGGCUGAAGACAUCAUGUCACAACAGUUUUACUGUUACAAUGGUCAUUCAUAGCAGUUGGCAUUUCUUUCUGUAAAUCUUUAACUCAAUGUAAAUUUUUCCAAAGAAAAUCCCCUUUCAGCAGUAGACUGCUACACAGUAUGUGGCCUGUACCCAGUGACGCUAAAUACAUUUUUUCUGGACAAUAUUUGGUGUAACAUCAUGUGGAGAAGAAUAAUCAAUAGCCUAUAGCAAAUGUAAGUGUGGCUUUGUCAAAUUAGAAACAGAGAUGUUGUGUGAAAGCACGCUUUGGGUCAUGGUUAAUCAUGAAGAAUUGGACAAACAACCAAGUCCCAAUAAUUUCUCUCUAUCAGAACCGACAUCCGAAAACAACACGUUCUACUCUCAUUUCUGCAAAUGUCUCAAAAUCGAGGGUGAUGACAGUGAAACUAAGGAGAAUACAAAGAAAGAGGUGGGAAACAAGAGAUUGUCUUGUCAAGAAAAGACUCUGAUCCCAGGAGACAAAGGAAUGAGGAAAAUUACAUCAUCACUACCCAUCACUACAAAGUGGUUUGGUCCAAUAAAAAUAGGGUACUCAUCAGCAGCCAGAUGGACUCAGGUACCCUGUCAGCAGUCAUCACCAUGUUCCUCACAGAGUCAUACAAAAAACAAUGUAAUAUAAAGCCUUUGUGCUUUAUUCUCCAUGGGCAUAAUCUCUAAUUAAUAUUUUUCAAAGUGUUAUGGAACAAUGCAGUAUAUAUUGUAUGUUGUUUUACAGUGAUCAAAAAUUAAAAAGCAAAAUGUCUGGAAUAUUUAUUUCAGCUCAUGAAACAGCCACACUCACAUCAACAACCGGAUAGUAUGACAUUUAUCAGGGGCUAUAAGCGGUAUUCAUAUAAACAAAAACAAUUGGCCUAGA
ensembl:lncRNA